rnacentral:rRNA from 1 species
UACGUAGGGUGCAAGCGUUGUCCGGAUUUAUUGGGCGUAAAGAGCUCGUAGGCGGUUUGGCAAGUCGGGUGUGAAACCUCCAGCUCAACCUGGAGUCGCCAUCCGAUACUGCUAUGACUUGAGUCUGGUAGGGGAUCACGGAAUUCCUGGUGUAGCGGUGAAAUGCAUAGAUAUCAGGAGGAACACCGGUGGCGAAGGCGGUGAUCUGGGCCAGCAUCGACGUUCAGGCACGAAAGCGUGGGGAGCAAACAGGA